rnacentral:tRNA from 1 species
UGCCGAUGUGGCGGAACUGGCAGACGCGUACCGUUCAGGUCGGUAUGGUGAUUUCACCGUGCAGGUUCGAUUCCUGUCAUCGGCAU